rnacentral:rRNA from 1 species
AUUGAACGCUGGCGGCAGGCCUAACACAUGCAAGUCGAGCGGAUGAAGGGAGCUUGCUCCUGGAUUCAGCGGCGGACGGGUGAGUAAUGCCUAGGAAUCUGCCUGGACGUGGGGGAUAACGUCCGGAAACGGGCGCCAAUACCGCAUACGUCCUGAGGGAGAAAGUGUGGGAUCUUCGGACCUCACGCUAUCAGAUGAGCCUAGGUCGGAUUAGCUAGUUGGUGGGGUAAAGGCCUACCAAGGCGACUAUUCUUAACUGGUCUGAGAGGAUGAUCAGUCACACUGGAACUGCGACUCGGUCCAGGCUCCUACGGGAGGCAACAGUGUGGAAUGUUGGACAAUGAGCGAAGGCCUGCUCCAGCCGGGCCGCGUGUGUGAAGAAGGUCUUCGGCUUGUAAAGCACUUUAAGUUGGGAGGGUGGGUAGUAAGUUAAUACCUUGCUAUUUAGACGUUACCUACAGAAUAAGCACCGGCUAACUUCGUG